rnacentral:rRNA from 1 species
AUACGUAGGGGGCGAGCGUUGUCCGGAUUUACUGGGCGUAAAGGGUGAGUAGGCGGUUAUAUGUGUCAGAUGUAAAAGGCUAUGGCUUAACCAUAGUUAGCAUUUGAAACUGUAUGACUUGAGUGCAGGAGAGGUAAGUGGAAUUCCUAGUGUAGCGGGGAAAUGCGUAGAUAUUAGGAGGAACACCAGUGGCGAAGGCGACUUACUGUACUGUAACUGACGCUGAGUCACGAAAGCGUGGGUAGCAAACAGGAUUAGAUACCCUGGUAGUCCACGCUGUAAACGAUGAGUGCUAGGUGUUGGCCAGCGAUGGUCAGUGCCGCAGUAAACACAUUAAGCACUCCGCCUGGGGAGUACGGUCGCAAGACUGAAACUUAAAGGAAUUGACGGGG